rnacentral:sRNA from 1 species
GGUGCUAUCCUAUCUGAGCUUCCGCCCCUUCAUAACUCUACCAUCCCGUGCCCCGCUUCUCGCUCCAGAGCGGUCGUCUUCUCGACCUUGUAAGACCUUUUUCUUGACCUUGUAAGACCCCGCUCCCUAAUUCCCGCCCUGCUAUCGUCUCCCCUCCCCGCUUCUCCGUCUCCUUCCUCUACACUUGCAUCUCAAUGCAAGGACCCGGAUCUCUCCUCCUGUCUAUCCCUCCUGAGCUA